rnacentral:rRNA from 1 species
GAUGAACGCUGGCGGCGUGCCUAAUACAUGCAAGUCGAGCGAACAGACGAGGAGCUUGCUCCUCUGACGUUAGCGGCGGACGGGUGAGUAACACGUGGAUAACCUACCUAUAAGACUGGGAUAACUUCGGGAAACCGGAGCUAAUACCGGAUAAUAUAUUGAACCGCACGGUUCAAUAGUGAAAGACGGUUUUGCUGUCACUUAUAGAUGGAUCCGCGCCGCAUUAGCUAGUUGGUAAGGUAACGGCUUACCAAGGCAACGAUGCGUAGCCGACCUGAGAGGGUGAUCGGCCACACUGGAACUGAGACACGGUCCAGACUCCUACGGGAGGCAGCAGUAGGGAAUCUUCCGCAAUGGGCGAAAGCCUGACGGAGCAACGCCGCGUGAGUGAUGAAGGUCUUCGGGUCGUAAAACUCUGUUAUUAGGGAAGAACAAAUGUGUAAGUAACUAUGCACGUCUUGACGGUACCUAAUCAGAAAGCCACGGCUAACUACGUG